CGAGCAUCCUCUAGCCGCACCGCACCGUACCUAGCCGCGCCAGCGGAGGGCCGCGCCCACGUCCUCCCGGCUGCCUGGCGCGCACCCGCGUGUCCCUGGCCUGAACCGGAACCGCUUGCCGAAGCCGCCGCUGCCGCUGGGACACCGGGCGCCGACAGCGAAGCGCGGGGGGUGGAGGCGGCCUGCGCGGCGCCGCCCGCCAUGGCCGCGGCGGGGUGAGCUCCGCACGGAGGCCGCAGUCGCGCGCGGACCUGAGCGCUCCUCCGCCGCGGACAGGCCGGCCGGGCUCGGGCGGGCGCGCACGGAGGCCGAGGAGAGCCGGUGCCGCCGCCCGCUCGUCGCCGCCGCCG
rnacentral:lncRNA from 1 species